rnacentral:rRNA from 1 species
UAAUAAUGUAAAAUUAAACUAGAUUAGUAGUAGUUAUGUUCUUGAAAAUUAAAAAUUUUGGCGGUUUUUUAGUCUAUUCAGAGGAACCUGUUCUGUAAAUGAUAGUCCACGAUUUUAAGUUCCUUUGUUAAUAGUUUGUAUAUCGUCGUAGUUUGAAUAUUUUAAAAGAAUUUUAAUAUUCAAAAUUUAUUUAAAUAAAAAAUAUCAGAUCAAGGUAUAGUUUAUAUAAAGGUAGAAAUGGGUUACAUUAAUUUUAAUUAUAGAUUAUUAAUUUUAAAUUGAUAUAAAAAAGGAUUUGAUAGUAAUUUUUAAUAAAUUUUAAUAAUGAUUAUUAGCUCUAAAAA